AUAGAAAGCAUUCCUAUUACAAGUUUUGCUUGAAGCUCAGAAAAGAAAAUGCUGUGAGAACAAGGGAAUGGGAAUCUAAUGAAAACAUCUCUCUUUGCCUCUCUCUCUGCAAUGCCAUGCUGAGAAGCAGCACUUACUUUCUCCGACACACAGAAAUCUUUGUGCCUGACAGAUAGAACAGGAGAUAAAAAGGAUAUAAAGCGUCUGGCUUUCCAAUAUGUACGUGGGAUGAUGAUUUAAAUUACAAAGUUUGAAGAAUUUGGCACUCAGCAAAUUUGGACCUUGCCCAGUUUUUUGUUUUUGCUUUUUUUUUUCCUCCUCAAUAAUAAGUUUAGAAAACAUGAAAAAAAAAGAAAUGUUUUCCCCUGUAACACAGCAUUUAAACAACAUCUGCACUUCUGAAUGAGUUCAAAACACCUUCAGAAUGAAAGGCUUUUCUCUUUGAACAGGGAAGAAACCCUUCCAGCAUGCUCCAGCGGAGGGAAACUCUUGCAGAGAUUGAGCUGUCUGGUUCCAUUGUAAGGUUGCUGGCAGAGACCCCGCAGCAGAAUUGACGGUGCAUUAAUUACCAGGCUCAUGGGCUCUCUGACCCCACUCCACAACAACACGUACUGGCAAUGGAUCUGAGGAACGCUGGCAUUAUCCCAGUCCUGAAGACCUGAAGGCAAGUUGUCACCUGAACUACAGCUCAAAAUCAGCCACAACAGCUAAGAAGAUGAGAGCCAGCAAAUGACUUUUAACCAGCAUCAGUUCCUUUGGUUAUCAACUUUGACUAUCAAACAAUGACAGGCAAAGCCUUGGGAUUGUAUGCUGCUCUUCUUUAUGAACAGGAAGGGCCGCUGAACUUGGCAUCCACUAGAAUAAGAGAUCAGGUACCUGAAGUCCAAAGAAAUAUCAUUUACAAACAAUAAGCAACAGUAAAAGAAAACCUUCUAGCUCAUUCUAUAUGUAAUCCUUUGAUCCAGGUAACAUUUAAACCAAUAUUUGUCCCUGACAAUUAUUCCCACAGAGUGAUUGUGCAAGCAUUAGAGAUUUUAACAAUGUUUAUAUAAACAACAUGAAAUGCAAGAUAAAGAACUUGUUAAUUACAUAUCAGUUUUAAAGAUACAAACGAAUUGUUUAAGUCUUUCAAAUCAAAGUUGUAAUGGAUUGCAGCUUAAUAUGUAGUCAAAAUAAAGAUUUGCGGAAUAUGAUUUUUUUAUGGCUUGUAGAUCUUUUAAAAAAUAUUUUUAGAAAUAAAGCAUCCCAUGAUUAGCCCUUUCAAUUACUGCAUCACACAGUGUUUUUUACAGACUCUAAUUAUAUCUUAGAUUAAAAUUCAAAACACCUGCUUUUGUGGAUCAGACUAAUUUCAGCCUCGAGUAUUUUGAUACAAAGAGCUAUAAUCAGUGAGAACCAGAUGAUUUCCUAUUCUCUGUACCACACCUUCUCAGCAGAGUACAGCUAGAGAUCUCUAUUUCCUUCUUAUUUUUUGUGUUAUGUUAUUACAUCUUUUAUUUAAAGAUAUGUAUUUAAUGCUGAAUUAUGUAGUAUUUUUACUUAAAUCAGAUGAAAUGCUUCAGGCAGAUAUUAGCUUUUAAAAUAACAGUCAUUUUGAUUUUAAAUAGCAGAUGAAUCGUGUAGCUUUCUUCUGUUAGUUUCCUUUUUCAUUUCAGUGUAGGUAAUAUAGGUACUUUGUUCCUGGCUUUUAAGAACACGGCUCUUUUAAAACCCUGUAAUUUAAGUUCGGGGAUUUAAAUGGGAACAAAUACUUACUUGAAAGAUAGUUUUUGAUAUGCUUGGUUCUCUGUUAUUAUUCUGUACACUUUAGGGGUGUGAUCCAAAGUCCACAGAGUCAAGGGCAAGACAUGCAGAUUUCACUGGGCUUUGGGUCAGGCUCUAAAUACUGUAUGAAGGAAAAGGAAAUAGUUGAAUUGUCCCUGCAGAUCCUACUACAGUAAAAUAAGGGUAUCUUUAACAGUAUUCACUUUUUGAUGAGCAUAAGAUGGGAUCUGACUCUUUGCACAAUUACACUAGUUUUAAUCCAAUACGACAACAAAGAGCCAUGGCAGGGCACUGAAUCCGGCCCAUCAGAGUCCUCAAGGCCCUCCAGAGCAAUACAGUUACUCUUAAUUUUAUGCAAUACUUUCAAAUAAAACUGUCUGCUGAAUCUGUGGAGGUGGCCUGGCAGUUCUGCACCAGAGCUGCUUAUUUUGUUUCUCCCCCAUGCUGUGCUGUAACUUGCUACUUUGCUGUGUUGCAAGGGGCAGGUUUCUGAAGGCCCAUGAAAAGCCACCUGGCUCUUGCUCCAGAGUAUACUAAUACAACAAAAAUAGAUUUAAUGGCAUGUCACAUCAGAGUUAGAAUGAUCUUUUGGAAAUUUAGCAUUUUUAUUCCCUGUGUUCCUCACUGUGAUUAAUUAGCUGUGAAUGUAUUUAUAGAUGUUUUUCUUCCCUUUUCCAUGUUAUACAUUAGAGAGGUAGGAAAGGUAAGUUCUUUAUGGAAAAAUUCAAGCCCUCCACAUGAUAAAAUGGCAUAUGUCCCUGGCAUGUGCCAAACUCUUCUAGUUUUCCCUAAACAUUUUAAGAAGUUUGUGCCUAAGUGCUGUACAGUGAGCUUUCCAUCACCCGUGGACAGCUGUUCUGGUUUAAAAUAAAUGAUCAUGUGAGCCAGAGAUAUCCACUAGCAUCUCACAGACAAGCCUAAGCUCCAGUUAACCCUCUGCACUGGGCUUUGCUGCAUCCAGUAUUUCCCAGUUUCUCACCCUACUUUCAGCUCUGUUCAGAUCCGUGUAGCCAGCUCAGGUCUAUGACUAUUGUGGGAGGAGAGCAUGUAGGAGCGUUGAGAUGGCUCUGUGAUGUUAGCCCCACACUCCCCUGCCUCUGGGAAUGCCUCACCACCCCAUCAAGGAUGCACAGCACUGUGUCCCAGUUAGCAAAUUGGUCUUAUGAGGGGUAGGUUUGGGUCAAGGAUCAGUUUUCUCUUUUGUUGUCCAGAGUUUCCUGUCUUGCAGGUAUCUCAGGACCAUUGAAGAUGACUGCUUACCUCACUGUCAGCCUGCAGACUAGAGCAGAGCCCAUCACCCAUCAGCACUGAGAAAGCUUUGUACCCAUAAGGAGAAAAGUGAUUAACACCAGAGGCACUAAGAACAGCACAAAUAAUGCCCACGGGUCCUGCCAGGACCUUGCUCCAGCGCAGGCUUUCCACGCAGUCACAACCUCCUUCAGUCAUCCAUUUGCUCUAGUGCUGGGUCCUCCUCAGGCUGCAGGUGGAUCUCUGCUCCAUCAUGGACCAAUGUGGGCU